UAGCGAAUGGUGGCGUAGAGCCUAAAACCAAACCCCGAACGCCACCUUCCUCGUUUUUACCGACAUCGAUGCAAUCGUUACCCUCACUACAGAAUACAAACUUGUAAGCGUUAAGUUUGGCUUCAGUUUUCUUGAUCUGGAAGAAACUCCUCGACGAAUCUUCUCCUCCAGCUUCUGGCUUAGGACCAGCCGCUAUGAACAACGACCUCCAGGGACUGGGGGCUGGAGUGACCCACCAAUAAGCUGACUGAGCGCAGAUCGUAGGUUCGACAUCCAUCUUGAUGUUGAGGUUCUCUUCUUCGGGGACGAACCCAACUCUGGACCUCCAGUUUGAGAAUUUCACGGGAAUGCCCCUGUUGACCUCUGAACGCUCCUGUCCGAUAAAGAGGGGACACUGGUUGCCACGACGGGAGACGAGAGUUAGGCCGCCACCUGUAGGGCCCCAGAUGAGGGGGAGAACGUAGUAACUGCCGUCGAAUAUGAUAUCACCAUCAGUGUCGAGAACUGGUCCAGCGUUUGCGGUCGCGGCCAAAACAGUGGUAAAGGCAAG
rnacentral:lncRNA from 1 species